UUGAAGAAUUUGAAAACUUCUACUUGUAGACUUGGAGACUUUGAAGACUUCAACCUGCAGACUUGGAGAAUUUGAAGAAUUCAACC
rnacentral:pre_miRNA from 1 species